rnacentral:rRNA from 1 species
UACGUAGGUGGCAAGCGUUUGUCCGGAUUUACUGGGCGUAAAGAGCGCGCAGGCGGUCGUGCAAGUCGCGUGUGAAAGCCCCCGGCUCAACUGGGGAGGGUCACGCGAUACUGCUCGACUCGAAGGCAGGAGAGGGAAGUGGAAUUCCCGGUGUAGUGGUGAAAUGCGUAGAUAUCGGGAGGAACACCAGUGGCGAAGGCGACUUCCUGGCCUGUUCUUGACGCUGAGGCGCGAAAGCUAGGGUAGCAAACGGGAU